rnacentral:rRNA from 1 species
AUGGCGUCGCCGCGCCGGAAUGCCUCCCAUGGGGCGGCGGCGGGGAGGGAGGCGGCGCGGUCGGACUCGUCGCCGUACACCCCCGCGACGCCCCGGUCGCGGUUCGCGGCGGAGUUCUCGCCCGAGGCGUUCGACGAGCCGGGGGCCGGGGAGGUGCCGUCGGCCAAGGAGAGUGUCACCGCCACCGUCCGCUUCCGGCCGCUCAGCUCGCGGGAGAUUCGGCAGGGGGAGGAGAUCGCGUGGUACGCGGACGGCGAGACCAUCGUGCGGAGCGAGCACAAUCCCAACAUCGCUUAUGCAUACGAUCGUGUGUUUGGACCAACUACGACGACACAACAGGUAUAUGAUGUUGCGGCUCAACAUGUUGUCAGUGGUGCCAUGCAAGGAAUAAAUGGAACAAUAUUUGCAUAUGGGGUUACAAGCAGUGGGAAGACACAUACGAUGCAUGGAGAUCAAAGAUCCCCAGGGAUUAUACCUUUGGCCGUGAAAGAUGCGUUUGGCAUAAUACAAGAGACCCUGAAUCGGGAGUUUCUUCUUCGUGUGUCAUACUUGGAAAUUUAUAACGAGGUUGUGAACGAUCUCCUAAAUCCUGCAGGGAAGAAUUUACGAGUUAGGGAGGAUCUUCAGGGAACAUUUGUUGAGGGCAUAAAGGAAGAAGUAGUGUUAUCUCCUACCCAUGUUUUGUCCCUUAUUGCAGCCGGAGAAGAGCAUAGGCAUGUUGGAUCCACUAACUUUAAUCUUCUAAGUAGCAGAAGCCACACAAUUUUCACACUGACAGUAGAGAGCAGCCCCUGCUGUGAGUCUAAUGAAGGAGAAACAGUUACUUUUUCGCAGCUGAACCUCAUCGAUCUGGCAGGUUCAGAGAGUUCAAGGGCUGAAACAACAGGAGCACGCCGGAAGGAAGGGUCUUAUAUUAAUAAAAGUCUGCUGACUCUUGGAACGGUGAUAUCAAAAUUGACUGAUGGAAAAGCUACUCAUGUUCCAUUUCGAAACUCAAAAUUAACACGUUUACUGCAGUCAUCCUUGAGUGGCCAAGGACGUGUUUCUCUGAUUUGCACGGUUACUCCAGCAUCGAGCAACUCUGAAGAAACUCAUAAUACGUUAAAAUUUGCCCACCGCUCAAAGCACAUUGAGAUCCAAGCAUUACAAAACAAGAUUAUUGAUGAGAAAUCUCUAAUAAAGAAGUACCAAAGUGAAAUUCGUCAACUAAGGGAAGAGCUAGAACAGCUGAAAAGAGGGAUCUUUACUGCCACUCCUUUGGAAGAUGUCACAGAAGAUAAUAUCAUUCUUUGGAAACAGAAGCUAGAAGAUGGUAAUGUCAAGCUUCAGUCUAGACUGGAACAAGAAGAAGAAGCCAAAGCUGCUUUGCUUGGCAGGAUACAGCGUCUAACAAAACUAAUCCUGGUUUCCACCAGAGCAACCCAGACUACUAGAUCAUCUCAACAUCCUGGCACAAGGCGCAGACAUUCUUUUGGUGAAGGAGAGCUGGCAUAUCUCCCACAUAGAAGGCGAGAUAUUAUCGUGAAUAGCGAUAGAAAUGAGCUGGUUAUGCCGAGGGAAGGAUUUGGUGAAGCACUUGAAAUGUCUCCUAAGGAGGAGAAGCAAAGUCGUAAAGGACUCCUUAACUGGUUCAAACUUCGGAAGCGUGAUAGUGGUUCUGCUACCCUGGCAUGUUCUGAUGGUGGUAAAUCUAGUUUGACCAAAUCAUUCACUGCUCCUUCAAAACGUCUGGAGGAUGGGAUUAAUUUUCUAUCAGAACAGAGGACGUGGAAUUCUAUGCUUGAUGAGAAUGUACCAGCUGAUUUUUUGAGUGUUGACCUAGGAAUUCCUUCUGACAGCUCUCCUCUAGAAGAUAUACUGUCCGUACAAAGUGUCAGCAGAAAAAGAGAAAUCUUAGAUGAUGUUGAUCUAUUGAGGGAGCAGUUAAAGAUUUCGUCAGGGGAGGCUGUGCUCCACGCAAAUGUUGUAAAGCACCUCACAGAGGAAGCUGGAAUAAGCGGAAUGAGCAAACAGAUUGAGAUGGAAAGGAUGGCCAAUGAUGAGAUUAAAUGCAAGCAGCAGAUAGUAUCUUUGGAAAAUCAGAAUGCUCAUUCAGUGGCAGACAGUCAAGAAAAGCUUGACAUUUCAGAACUUUCACCGUAUUACGCUAAGAUACUUAAGCAACUCAAUGAGAAGGCCUUUCAACUUGAGGUGAAAACAGCAGAUAACAGGAUACUGGAAGACCAGCUAGAGAAAAAGGCAAGCGAAUGUGAAGAGUUGCAAGAAACGGUUGUUUACUUGAAAGAACUGAUCGUCCAAGCUCUUCAAAUUGACGAGUUUUUACCAGAAAGAAUCAGAUUGCAGCAGCAAACAGGCAUCGGCCAUGACGUUGGAUCACAAGGUCAUAAUGAUAAUCCAUUAUCCAGUGAUGUAUCUGAAAAACCACUGGAGAACACAUCGCAGUCAGAGAUCGACGAACUGAAGCAGAAACUGUGCGAACUCACUGAAGCCAAAGCUCAGCUAGAGGUCCGUAACCAGGAACUUCUCGAGGAAAGCAUGUACGCCAAGGGCCUGGCCUCAGCCGCGGGUGUCGAACUGAGAGCACUUUCUGAAGAAGUCACCAAACUCGUCAAGCAGAAUGAGAAGCUUGCCAGCGAGGUGAAGUCAGCGAGAAACUCGACUCCACGAAGAGCAAGCCAUAGCCCGAAGGCAGCUCGAAAGGGCAGCCACGUCGAACGGCACGAACCGGGUGGUAAGAGAGACACGAACUCAAGCAGCCAGAGGGAGCAAGCUCUGGAGGCCAUGCUCGCGGAGAAGGACCAGAGAGAAGCUGAACUCGAGAAGAAAAUCGAGGAGUCGAAGCAGAAGGAGGCCUUCCUGGAGGGCGAGCUCGCAAAUAUAUGGACCUUGGUGGCGAAACUGAGGAAAGCCGAGGGAAAUUGCAAAGAUGAUUCAGAUGCCAUACACACGAUUGUAUAG